rnacentral:tRNA from 1 species
GCCCUCGUAGCUCAGCGGAUUAGAGCACCACCGUCCUAAGGUGGGUUGUCGCAGGUUCGAUUCCUGCCGAGGGCA